rnacentral:misc_RNA from 1 species
UCCCUGUUCUCAUCUCCAACAAUCUUUUUGGGAGAAAAAGCAUUAUCUGGCAUUAAUGGUCCACUCAAAAAUUUUUUAUGCUCCAUAACAACGAUACGUGGUAAAGAACUUCUCCUACUGGGAUUAUGACCAUCAUUUGCUUCACAUUCUUGGUUAGCUGACAAUUUUGUAAGAACCUGUUGCUCAGAAUCUGUUUGGGCAGUACCUUUCCA